rnacentral:rRNA from 1 species
UACGGAGGGGGCUAGCGUUGUUCGGAAUUACUGGGCGUAAAGCGCGCGUAGGCGGACCUGCAAGUCGGGGGUGAAAGCCCGAGGCUCAACCUCGGAACUGCCUUCGAUACUGCGGGUCUCGAGUCCGGGGGAGGUGAGUGGAAUUCCUAGUGUAGAGGUGAAAUUCGUAGAUAUUAGGAAGAACACCAGUGGCGAAGGCGGCUCACUGGCCCGGUACUGACGCUGAGACGCGAAAGCGUGGGGAGCGAACAGG